UGAGUUUGAUCCUGGCUCAGGAUGAACGUUGGCGGCGUGCCUAAUACAUGCAAGUCGAACGGAGAUUGUAGCAAUACGGUCUCAGUGGCGAACGGGUGAGUAACGCGUUGGUGACCUGCCCCGAAGUGUGGAAUAACAGAUCGAAAGAGCUGCUAAUACCGCAUAAUAUCCAGAGGACUAGAUGCCUUUGGAUUAAAGGAUUUAUUCGCUUCGGGAGGGGCCUGCGUCCCAUCAGCUAGUUGGUAAGGUAAAGGCUUACCAAGGCUAUGACGGGUAGGGGACCUGAGAGGGUGGCCCCCCACAAUGGAACUGAAACACGGUCCAUACACCUACGGGUGGCAGCAGUAGGGAAUAUUAGUAAUGGGCGAAAGCCUGAACUAGCAACGCCGCGUGUGCGAAGAAGGCCUUCGGGUUGUAAAGCACUUUUUGAGAGGAUGAGGAAGGACGGUACUCUCAGAAUAAGUCUCGGCUAACUACGUGCCAGCAGCCGCGGUAACACGUAGGAGGCGAACGUUAUCCGGAUUUACUGGGCGUAAAGCGCGUGUAGGUGGUUUGGUAAGUAGGGCGUGAAAGCUCCUGGCUCAACUGGGAGAGGCCGUUCUAAACUGCCGAACUAGAGGAUGGUAGAGGGAGGUGGAAUUCCGGGUGUAGCGGUGGAAUGCGCAGAUAUCCGGAGGAACACCAGUGGCGAAAGCGGCCUCCUGGACCACUCCUGACACUCAGACGCGAAAGCUAGGGUAGCAAACGGGAUUAGAGACCCCGGUAGUCCUAGCCCUAAACGAUGUAGACUUGGCGUCGGUGGUUUAAACGCCAUCGGUGUCGAAGCUAACGCGAUGAGUCUACCGCCUGGGGGACUACGGCCGCAAGGUUAAAACUCAAAGGAAUUGACGGGUCCCCGCACAAGCA
rnacentral:rRNA from 1 species